rnacentral:tmRNA from 1 species
GGGGUCGAUAUAGUUUCGACAGGGUAAUUGCUUGUCUUUGACUGCAGCCGAGCGAUGACGUAAUCAUCAAACAAAAAUAACUGACAACAGUUAUAUGAGAGCUCCAAGAGCUCAAUCACUCUGCUUAGCUUAAGCUUCCCGACAUAGGGUCCGACGCCAUGCGCCGGGCAGAGCGCCUCUCAAGGUUUUUCUCUUUCACGCUUGAUAAAGGUGUCAUACCAAAAGAGUAGGAUAAAAAGUUGACUUGCUGAUUUUAUCUGAAAGUUAAGAAGUCUCGUAAUGAUAGACACGAUAUUCGAUUCAUUAUUAAAUUUAAAUAUCGUCUAAGCUGUAGACGUUAUUGAUGGGCUUAUCUUGGACACGGGUGCGAUUCCCGCCGGCUCCACCA